rnacentral:rRNA from 1 species
GAUGAACGCUGGCGGCGUGCUUAACACAUGCAAGUCGAGCGAGAAAAGUUCUUUGGAGCUUUUCUAGCGGCGGACGGGUGAGUAACACGUGGGCAACCUGCCUCAUAGAGGGGAAUAGCCUCCCGAAAGGGAGAUUAAUACCGCAUAAGAUUGUAGCUUCGCAUGAAGUAGCAAUUAAAGGAGCAAUCCGCUAUGAGAUGGGCCCGCGGCGCAUUAGCUAGUUGGUGAGGUAACGGCUCACCAAGGCGACGAUGCGUAGCCGACCUGAGAGGGUGAUCGGCCACAUUGGGACUGAGACACGGCCCAGACUCCUACGGGAGGCAGCAGUGGGGAAUAUUGCACAAUGGGGGAAACCCUGAUGCAGCAAUGCCGCGUGAGUGAUGACGGCCUUCGGGUUGUAAAGCUCUGUCUUCAGGGACGAUAAUGACGGUACCUGAGGAGGAAGCCACGGCUAACUACGUGCCAGCCGCCGCGGUAA